rnacentral:rRNA from 1 species
CCUACGGGGGGCAGCAGUGAGGAAUAUUGGUCAAUGGACGAGAGUCUGAACCAGCCAAGUAGCGUGAAGGAUGACUGCCCCAUGGGUUGUAAACUUCUUUUAUAUGGGAAUAAAACGUUCCACGUGUGGGAUUUUGUAUGUACCAUAUGAAUAAGGAUCGGCUAACUCCGUGCCAGCAGCCGCGGUAAUACGGAGGAUCCGAGCGUUAUCCGGAUUUAUUGGGUUUAAAGGGAGCGUAGGUGGAUUGUUAAGUCAGUUGUGAAAGUUUGCGGCUCAACCGUAAAAUUGCAGUUGAAACUGGCAGUCUUGAGUACAGUAGAGGUGGGCGGAAUUCGUGGUGUAGCGGUGAAAUGCUUAGAUAUCACGAAGAACUCCGAUUGCGAAGGCAGUUCACUGGACUGCAACUGACACUGAGGCUCGAAAGUGUGGGUAUCAAACAGGAUUAGAUACCCUUGUAGUC